CAUUAAGCACUCCGCGGGGGGAGUACGGCCGCAAGGGUGAAACUCAAAAGAAUUGACGGGGGCCCGCACAAGCGGUGGAGCAUGUGGUUUAAUUCGACGCAACGCGAAGAACCUUACCAGGUCUUGACAUCCUCUGCAAUCGGUAGAGAUACCGAGUUCCCUUCGGGGACAGAGUGACAGGUGGUGCAUGGUUGUCGUCAGCUCGUGUCGUGAGAUGUUGGGUUAAGUCCCGCAACGAGCGCAACCCUUGAUCUUAGUUGCCAGCAUUUAGUUGGGCACUCUAAGGUGACUGCCGGUGACAAACCGGAGGAAGGUGGGGAUGACGUCAAAUCAUCAUGCCCCUUAUGACCUGGGCUACACACGUGCUACAAUGGAUGGAACAAAGGGAAGCAAAACCGCGAGGUCAAGCAAAUCCCAUAAAACCAUUCUCAGUUCGGAUUGCAGGCUGCAACUCGCCUGCAUGAAGCCGGAAUCGCUAGUAAUCGCGGAUCAGCAUGCCGCGGUGAAUACGUUCCCGGGCCUUGUACACACCGCCCGUCACACCACGAGAGUUGGUAACACCCGAAGUCGGUGAGGUAACCUUUGGAGCCAGCCGCCGAA
rnacentral:rRNA from 1 species